AUGAACGCUGGCGGCGUGCCUAACACAUGCAAGUCGAACGGAAUUUACAUGAAGCCUAGCGAUUGUAAAUUUAGUGGCGGACGGGUGAGUAACGCGUGGGUAACCUGCCUUGUACUGGGGGACAACAGUUGGAAACGACUGCUAAUACCGCAUAAGCGCACAGCUUCGCAUGAAGCAGUGUGAAAAACUCCGGUGGUACAAGAUGGACCCGCGUCUGAUUAGCUGGUUGGUGAGGUAACGGCCCACCAAGGCGACGAUCAGUAGCCGGCCUGAGAGGGUGAACGGCCACAUUGGGACUGAGACACGGCCCAAACUCCUACGGGAGGCAGCAGUGGGGAAUAUUGCACAAUGGGGGAAACCCUGAUGCAGCAACGCCGCGUGAGUGAAGAAGUAUUUCGGUAUGUAAAGCUCUAUCAGCAGGAAAGAAAAUGACGGUACCUGACUAAGAAGCCCCGGCUAACUACGUGCCAGCAGCCGCGGUAAUACGUAGGGGGCAAGCGUUAUCCGGAUUUACUGGGUGUAAAGGGAGCGUAGACGGUUUUGCAAGUCUGAAGUGAAAGCCCGGGGCUUAACCCCGGGACUGCUUUGGAAACUGUAGGACUAGAGUGCAGGAGAGGUAAGUGGAAUUCCUAGUGUAGCGGUGAAAUGCGUAGAUAUAUGGAGGAACACCAGUGGCGAAAGCGGCUCUCUGGUCUGUCACUGACGCUGAGGCUCGAAAGCGUGGGUAGCGAACAGGAUUAGAUACCCUGGUAGUCCACGCCGUAAACGAUGAGUGCUAGGUGUUAGGCCCUUUCCGGGGCUUAGUGCCGGAGCUAACGCAAUAAGCACUCCGCCUGGGGAGUACGACCGCAAGGUUGAAACUCAAAGGAAUUGACGGGGACCCGCACAAGCGGUGGAGCAUGUGGUUUAAUUCGAAGCAACGCGAAGAACCUUACCAAAUCUUGACAUCCUCUGACCCCUCUAGAGAUAGAGUUUUCCCCUUCGGGGGACAGAGUGACAGGUGGUGCAUGGUUGUCGUCAGCUCGUGUCGUGAGAUGUUGGGUUAAGUCCCGCAACGAGCGCAACCCUUAUCUUUAGUAGCCAGCAGUAAGAUGGGCACUCUAGAGAGACUGCCGGGGAUAACCCGGAGGAAGGUGGGGAUGACGUCAAAUCAUCAUGCCCCUUAUGACCAGGGCUACACACGUGCUACAAUGGCGUAAACAAAGAGAAGCGAAGUCGUGAGGCAGAGCGAAUCUCAAAAAUAACGUCUCAGUUCGGAUUGUAGUCUGCAACUCGACUACAUGAAGCUGGAAUCGCUAGUAAUCGCAGAUCAGAAUGCUGCGGUGAAUACGUUCCCGGGUCUUGUACACACCGCCCGUCACACCAUGGGAGUCGGAAAUGCCCGAAGUCGGUGACCUAACCGCAAGGAAGGAGCCGCCGAAGGCAGGUCUGAUAACUGGGGUG
rnacentral:rRNA from 1 species